rnacentral:rRNA from 1 species
AUUGAACGCUGGCGGCAGGCCUAACACAUGCAAGUCGAACGAGUGGCGGACGGGUGAGUAAUGUCUGGGAAACUGCCUGAUGGAGGGGGAUAACUACUGGAAACGGUAGCUAAUACCGCAUACCAUCAGAUGUGCCCAGAUGGGAUUAGUUAGUUGGUGGGGUAACGGCGCACCAAGGCGACGCUCCCUAGCUGGUCUGAGAGGAUGACCAGCAACACUGUAACUUGGACACGGUCCAGACUCGUAAGGGAGGCAGCGGUGGGGAAUAUUGGAGAUGGGGCGCAAGCCUGUUGCAGCCAUGCCGCGUUUAUGAAGAAGGCCUUCGGGUUGUAAAGUACUUUCAGCGGGGAGGCGUUACCCGCAGAAGAAGCACCGGCUAACUCCGUGCCAGCAGCCGCGGUAAUUC